UAUAAAAACACCAACUUCUCUCAUGAAAUACUCAGACGAUACAUUUUUUCCGGGACUCAUUACUGUGUGAUGGGCUAAAUUCACACCUCUCGUUCAUUGUUCUGGUGGUCCAUCUGAAAAUAAUCAUCUAAUUAAUUAGAUAGAUAAAAACAGGUAUUUCUGGGGGCGUGGCUGUUUGAUUGAUAUACCUGGUCUGCAAUGAUUGCUCGGAUGACGCGGCCGGGAGGCCGAUCACCGGAGGAUCAUUCACCGGAGGAGAGCUUGUAUCGUGAGCGUUUCGUAUUGAAUCAGUUGUGUUGAAUAUUAUUGUUCUCAAUAUUUGUCGGUGGAAGAAUAAUUUAGCACUGACAGUUUUGCUGUUAGUUAUUUAGUUUGAAUGAGUUUUCAGUUCACAGUAAUUAUGGCUCAUUCUUCGUCACUAACAAACUGGAGAAAUGAUGAUAAUAUACAUUUUUUUUCGAGGAAUCCACACUGAAAACUGAAUGACCGGUGCCCACAGAAGGAGGACCUCAUGUAUGGACAAAGGAGACUGCACGGACAUCCUUAGUUCUCAAAUGGGCUGUGAUGAUGAUGAUGAUGAUGAUGAUGGUGAUGAUGAUGGUGAUGAUAAUGAUGGUGGUGAUGAUGAUGGUGAUGCCAGAAAACCACUUCCAGUUCAGCUUCCUCUGAUGAGAGGACAGACCAGCUGUUUAGACAUUUGAUGUCACUUCCUCUUUGUGAUGUCAGUUAAAAGCAACAGUAUAUUGUUUAUAGACAAAAUAUGUUAGUGUUGAUUAAAAAUAAAUAUCUCAUGUAAAUAGGGACACACAUAUAAUAUAAUCCUGACAGGUUUGAUAAGAAACAUUACAUUCAUUGGUGAUAUUUUAGAUACAAAUGUCAAGUUGUUUCAUAUGGACAUGUGAAAAUUGCCAUGUUCUAAGGAAAAAUGGCUAAAAAUAGUAUGUUAGUCUUUGUAAGUAGUAUUUUCUCAUUUAACAUCAUGGCAAGAGUACUUGACUUAAUGGUUUUUUAAAAUUGCUUUUUUUUUUUUUGUUGAGUGAAAUAAAGGGAACGAAAACUAGCAAUUCUCUAUAUACACUGUGAUAAAUAUCCAGUCAGAGAUGACUUAAAAUAAAGGUAUUAACAUGGAUAAUAACACUGUUAAUGUUGAGACAUAAGAGAGUUAUAUUUUAGAAAAGAUGUUUAUUCAGAGAGAAUAAAUUAAACUCAUCAUGGAAACAUACACUAUACAAAAAGAGGUCACUGUAAAUGUGCAUUUAAUGACAUUGUACAAUUUUUCUACCAAAAUGAGUUAUCCAGAUGAAUACAGGUGUACACAGUGAACAUUACACCUCAUCCUAGAGAAACUCCCCGAUGGGAGGAACCCGUUAGGAAAGAACACUAAGGGAUGUCUAUUUGACAGAUCAAUCCGUUAGACAUACAAUGCAUUUAGAAAGUAUUGAGGCACAGAACUUAUUAUUCUUAUGUUGAAAUUGUUUAAUUCAUUCAUCAAUGUGCAAUGCCAGCUAGCUGCUAAUGCUAAUUCUAGCUUUCUCUCUGAACAUCUGGAAAUGUCUGAACUGAAUCGUUUUGUGAUGUGUGAAAUGUGUGAAACCUUUACGGAACAAAAGAUGUUCAGUGUUUAUAACUACAUAUUUUGUGGUUACAGAUCCAUAAUCCUUUUUGACAUAAUGUGAUAUGACCCCAUCACUAUUCAUGUGAGUUUAACUGAUAAUCAGCCUCUGAGAGAAAUUAAAAAAGGAAAGAAUAACAUGUUUUUGUGUUGGAAAAUGUCCAGUAUAAAUGUAGUGACAGAUAUUUAAAAUACUGAUGCUGCCAUGUUGUACAACAGACUCAAUUUACCCCCAGGUGAAAAGUAAUGUUAACAAUAUUCAAAGGGAUGUUUGUAAGGAACCCACAGUUUCAGGCAAAAUUAUGUUUAUACACAAAAUGUUCACACUGUAUAUAAAAUAACAUUCUAUGUCUCUUUGAUCAUGCUCUUUUCAUUAAUAUGAUCUUUCUGAAAUAAAUAUAUUGAAGCAAUCUGA